rnacentral:rRNA from 1 species
GAUGAACGCUAGCGGCAGGCUUAAUACAUGCAAGUCGAGGGGCAGCAUGAUUGUAGCAAUACAAUUGAUGGCGACCGGCAAACGGGUGCGGAACACGUACACAACCUUCCAACAAGUGGGGGAUAGCCCAGAGAAAUUUGGAUUAAUACCCCAGUAACAUAGCGAUGUGGCAUCACAUUGCUAUUAUAGAUGUUUCGACUGUUGAUGGGUGUGCGGCUGAUGAGAUAGUUGGCGGGGUAACGGCCCGCCAAGUCUACGAUCAGUAGCUGAUGUGAGAGCAUGAUCAGCCACACGGGCACUGAGACACGGGCCCGACUCCUACGGGAGGCAGCAGUAAGGAAUAUUGGACAAUGGACGCAAGUCUGAUCCAGCCAUGCCGCGUGAAGGAUUAAGGUCCUCUGGAUUGUAGACUUCUUUUAUAAGGGACGAAAAAAGGCUUUUCUAAGUCGUCUGACGGUACCUUAUGAAUAAGCACCGGCUAACUCCGUGCCAGCCGCCGCGGUAACAC